GUAAAUUUUACAGUCCAGUUUUAAAAAAUCUCCAGGGAAAAGUGAAGGGACUUUUGGGACAGGAAAGGAGCUCCUGAGGUGCCAGUGGUGCCCAGACUGGAGGGAAGGGACUUUUGGGACAGGAAAGGAGCUCCUGAUGAGGUGCCAGUGGUGCCCAGACUGGAGGGAAAGGACUUUUGGGACAGGAAAGGAGCUCCUGAGGUGCCAGUGGUGCCCAGACUGGAGGGAAGGGACUUUUGGGACAGGAAAGGAGCUCCUGAUGAGGUGCCAGUGGUGCCCAGACUGGAGGGAAGGGACUUUUGGGACAGGAAAGGAGCUCCUGAUGAGGUGCCAGUGGUGCCCAGACUGGAGGGA